CCAGCCCCUAGCAAUGUUGCAGUUUAGAUUGCUGUAUCACAUGUGUAGGUGGCACAGUGGAAAAAGGCUAUGUCAAAGCUCAGUGUUCUUUCCUGUGGACAUGUGAAUGAUUACUGUCCUAACAUU